AUGUUGUUGGAUGGCACCAGUAUGUGACGUUCCUAGGAACUUAGCUCUGAGGAAAAAACAAAGCAAACCGGGGAAGUACGUAGCCUUGAACCGGAGUAACCAGGGACAGAAAGGAAGGAAAAGGGUUUCAUACCUUCACGGAACGACGCUCACUUCGUCCGCCUGAGGAGGAAAAAUAAGUUUAAACCUUUCUGUGAAAAAGAACGUGGAGCCCUUUCUGCCGAAUGGAAACCCGCUAAACCCCGUUAUGGAGUCUGCUACAAUUAAGCAUCUAACCAGGAAUUGUCUAUGGACACAACUCUCCAGGCAAUUCAUGCAGAAAGUGUGUUGACGAUUUCCUGUUUCUUGCAGAGCGCUUCACCGUUAAGGCUCUUAGUAGCUGGCGAUUGUAAAGCACAUUUUCCGCUUCAUGAAAAUACAGUGCUCUUCUUGUGUUUGUAACCUUGGAAAGUAAGUCUGCUAUGAUAAGUUUAGGGAAGUGGCGGGGAGCUACUUUCCUAACAUAUCUGUGAUUGUUUUGAUACUUCUCAGUUUCUCGCGGGCAUUUCCUGCGUUCUCUAUAGGGCUCUCUUGCACUGAAUAAGGAAAGGAGGAAUUCUCUCUGCAUUGAGGCUAUUAUCGCACAUUGUGCGGUGGAUAUAGUCACGCGCUGGGUCGUAGUAGCGUGUCGUUUAUUUCAGUCCAGCUCACUCUUGGUAGAAUCCCUUUAUUCGUUUUGUUGUUUUUGAUAGUCUCUCUCUGCUUCCCAGGCUAGAGUGCAAUGGCGCUAUCUCGACUCACUGUAGCCUCCGCCUUGAGGGCUCAAGCGAUCCUCUCACCUCAGCCUCCCGAGUAGCUGGGACCGUAGACGCCUGCUCCCCAUCCCCGCUAUAUUCGUUCUUUAAUACAGUCUCUCAGCUUGUUCAGCUGCCACUUCUGUGCAGCUCAUUAGCCUGAUCGGUGAAAACUAGGCGAGACGCGCACACUGACCCUGCAGUGCAUCUUGGGAGUUGUAGUCAUAACUAAUCAAUGGUCUUGUUAAAACGUGCUUAUGUUUUGACCAGAUCGCUUAAGUGUGGACACCCUUCAGCAGUACACUACAACGUGGGUCAGUGUACAGAACACAUGCUGAUAGAAAUAAUUUCAAAAUCUGGAUUCAUAGUUUUUUUUUUUAAUCUAGAGACCUCAGAAAAUGUACUUGAAGAAAAUCAUCAUAAUAUAAUACAUAACAAUAGAGCCAAUUAAUUGAUGUGAUGAAAGUGGACAAAAUGUAUUUUGACCUCAGAGAAAAUAACAUUUCUGUCUUGGAAGAGUCAGAGAAUGCUUCACACAAUUUUUGAGCCUGAUGUUAGACUCUCCAGCCUUCUGUCCAAGCCUCACCCUUUGGUUACUCCCCAGGAAGACUGAACUUGGGAAGAGGAUUGUGCAGACCCUGGAGUCAGGCUUGGCGUUUGGGAUAGGGAAUACUAGAGUGCCCACAGCAUGGUCUGGAAAAGGGAAAGUGGGCUGCAGGUGGCUACAGUCCCAUGAUUCCAUGGAUUUCAGACCCCUCCAAAGCACAGGGCUCAGUGCUUAUCCAAGUCUGAGGGCCCCCCAUAACCACAUCUUCCCCAGCAGAUGUUCUUUGCUUCAGGCAGUCAUCAAAGUUCCACUUCAAAGAGUUGCUAACCAAAUAAGCCCACAAUCUUCCUUUUUUGUUGUUUUGAAUAAGUAAUGCCUUUACACAUAUGAAAUUAAAAAGAGAGGCCGGGCAUGGUGGCUCACGCCUGUAAUCCCAGCACUUUGGGAGGGCGAGGUGGGCAGAUUGCCCGAGGUCAGGAGAUCCAGACCAGCCAGGCCAACGUGGUGAAACCCUGUCUCUGCUAAAAAUACAAAAAUCAGCUGGGCGUGGUGGUGGGGGCCUGUAAUCCCAGCUACUUGGGAGGCCGAGGUAGGAGAAUCGCUUCAACCUGGGAGGCAGAGGUUGCAGUGAGCCAAGAUUGCACCACUGCACUCCAGCCUGGGGGACAGUGUGACAGACUGUCUCAAAAAAAAAAAAAAAAAAAAAGGCAAAGAUAUAUAGUGAAAACUAAGUCUUCUUUUAGUCUUUGUCUCCUGCCACUCAUAGAAUUUUCCUCUUGGAAUCACCUCUAUUCCAUUUUCCUGUGUAUGUUGCCAGAGCAGGGCUGGCUUCAUGGUGGUGACCUGUACAGAUAGGCACUUGGUUUAAUGUUUUGCUGUCACUAACUUGAAAUUCAGGAAAGUUUCUGGACAAGGGCCCUGCGGUUUUAUUUUGCACUGGGCCCACAAAGUAUGUAUCUAGUCCUAUUCCAGAGAUAUUCUAUGCAUAUACAGGUAAUUAUAUGUAGAUAUGUAUGUAGUGGUCCAGUAGUGGUCCAGGGCCUGUUAGGAACUGGGCGGCACAGCAGAAGGUGAGUGGCAGGGGAGCCAGCAUUUCGGCCUGAGCUCUGCCCCCUGUCAGAUGAGCAGGGGCAUUACAUUCUGGUAGGAGUGAGAACCCUAUUGUAAACUGCACAUGCAAGGGAUCUAACCUGUGCACUCCUUAUGAGAAUCCAACUCCCCCUUUCCAUGGAAAAAUUGUCUUCCACAAAACCAGUCCCUGGUGUCAAAAAGGUUGGGGACCUCUGUAGUAGGCUACCAUCUAGGUUUGUUUAGGUACACUCUAUGAUGUUCACACAACAAAAAAUCACCUGAUGAUGCAUUUUUCAGAAAGCAUCCCCAUUGUUAAGGGACACAUGACUGUAAUGGAAUACUAUUCUUUUCCUUCCUUUUUAUUUUUUGUGGAGACAGGGUCUCUACAUGUUGGUGCCCAGGCUGGUCUCACACUCCUGAGCUUAAGGGAUCUGCCUGCUUUGACCUCCCAAAGUGCUGGGAUUACAAGUGUGAGCCACCAUAUCUGAACCCCUGUCCCCCACUUUUUUUUUCUUUCUUUUUUUCCAUACACAGUCCAGGCUGGAGUGCAGAGGUGUCAUCUCGGCUCACUGCAACCUCCGUCUCCCGGAUUCUAACGAUUCUCCUGCCUCAUCCUCCUGAGUAGCUGGGAUUAUAGGUGUCCGCCACCACGCCCAGCUAAUUUUUGUAUUUUUAGUAGAGAUGGGGUUUCACCAUGUUGGUGAGGCUGGUCUCAAACUCUUGACCUCAUGUGAUCCACCUGCCUCAGCCUCCCAAAAUACUGGGAUUACAGGGGUGAGCCACCGUGCCCAGGACAGCCUUUUUUGGGUCAGUGUGUAUAUAGAGCUAACUCAUUCUACUUAAUGGCUACAUAGUAUCCCACUGUGAUAGCCGCAAAAGGCAGACAAAUCCUAGGCAGACAGGGGCAGGUCCCUGGUGAAACCCUUCAAGCUGAGGACAGUUUAAAGGCUAGCCACAAGACCAGGAUAAAUCCACAGACCAGAUUGAGAACCUCUCUUCCCAUUUGGCGUGCUUUCUUCUGAUUGAUCCCCACCCUUCACCUAUUUUACACAUAUCCUUUCCUAAUUGUUUUUUUACACUGUUGUACCUACCUUUGAGUGGUGCUGUUGUUUUAGCCUUUUUUGCAUACUCACAAACCAAUCAGCAUGCACGCCUUCAUUCUGAGCCCAUAAAAGCUGUGGACUCAGCCGCACUGAGAGAGAGACCACCUGACUUUGAGUGAGGGACCACCCUUGCAUCCUCUCUCUCCUGAGAGCUGUUUCAUAGUUCAAAUAAAACUCUUCUCCACCCUCCUCACCCUUUGAUUGUCAGCGUAACCUCAUUCUUGGACGCUGAAGAAAAAUUCGGGACCCACCAAACGCAGAUACAAAGAAGGCUGUACACACUGUGGCCCUUUGCCCUCUGCUGGUGGAGGGCAACCGUCCCACACAACGCGAUGGGAAGCAGCAGUGGGGCAGAGCCAGUCCUGAAGCCACGGGCCUGAGUGGGGCAAUGGGACUGAUAGAGCUGUUAACAUGCCACUGUCCGUUGGCCUGCAGACGGCAGAACUAAAAGAGUGCUUAGCAUACUGUAACACCUCUGGGGCUUCAGGGUCAUGAGCACCCCUGUUUGGGUGCCACCACAUUUCCCUCAAUGUGACACACCUGGUCCAGCCACAAGCCCCGCACAGAGCCCACUCCUGCCCUGUACUCGUUCACUCACACACCCCCUCCUGCCAGGGGCUGAGGCCAUGGUGGCUGCAGGAUUCGUGCCUGAGCACAAGCCAGACACAUCCUGGUGGGCCGAGUAGUUGGGGUGUUGCUGGCCGGAGGUCUCCAGCUGUCAAAGUGGCCAAGAAAAAUCCUGCAUCAACUGUACAAAUGUACCCUAAUUUAUUUAACUCAUUUAUUGUAUAUUUGUGUCAUUUCCAAUGGUUCGUAAUUUCAAACAUAUGAUUGUGCAAAAGUUGUUUUAUGUGUGCCAAUAUCUUUGUAGGUUAAUUUCCUAGAGCAAAGUUUUUCAACCUAAGCACCACUGACAUCUGGGGCUGGAUAAUUUGUUGUGAGGGGCUGUCAUGUGCGUUAUACGAUGUAUCCUAUCCACCCCUAUAUGUUAUGAAAAAUAUUUCAGUGGCCAGAAUCCUUUCAAUGACUUAAAAAGCCCUUUUCAUCCUGCUUCUGCCUACCUCUCCAGCUGCAUCUUAGUACCCGCACACUCUUUUUUCAUACUCAUGCCCCUGCUUGCUGUCUUUGCACAGGUAUUCUCUUUGUCUGGAGCUUUCUUCCUCACCAAUCAUCUCCUAAUAACUCCCAUUUUAUCUUUUAAAUGUUGCCACUAUUAUCACUUCCUUGGAGGAGCCUUCUUGGACUGCCUAUUUCAAAUCCCCUGGGUUUUUUUUUUUUCUUUGACAAAAGCCACAUUCGAACAAAUCCCCCUUGGAAUGUUACAAUUACCAAAAAAUCCAAUUUAAACUAGUUUAAAUGAUAAGAGAAUUUAUUGGCUCACAUAAAUGAGAAGUCUGAAGAUAAGGUGAACCUCAGGUUGAUUUGAGUGACUUAACAGUAUCAGCAGGAACUUGAUUUCCUUCUACCUCUCAAUUUUCUUUCUGAUGUCAGAUUCAUCCUAAGGCUUACUCCUUUUGUAUCAUAAAAUGGUGGCCAGGAUCUCCCAAGGUUAUGUAGUUCUUUGUCCAUAUCAAAAGAGAGUUUCUUUCACAUAUUUCACAGUUUCAAUGUGAUUAAAUUAAUUUAGGUCACAUGUCCGCCCCUAAACCUAGAGUUUUGUGGUCUAGAGAAUGUCAAGCACUGAUUGGCCAGGGCAAAUCAAGGCCUAUCCUUGGAACUGGAAGUUACGUUAAUCCCACCUAAAUCCCAUGAAUGUUACUCUAUGAGGUAUCGGUAAAAUCGAUGCUAGGAAUACAAUCAGAAUCCAUUAUAUCCUAUUACACGCUUAUAGCACCAUGCACCCCUCCAUUGUAGCACCUGUCAUACUUGUAGCUUUAUAUUUAUUUGUAUGAUUUCUGAUUAAUAACUGUCUUCUCAUCCAGAUGAAAAACCUCUAUUAGUCCAGGGAACUGCAUUUUUUCUCACCAUUGUAUCUCUAGUCUAGCACAGGGUGUCAAACAUAGCAGGUUCUCAAUAACUAUUGAAAGAAUGAAACUUCCCUUAGAAGUUUACUACUCAAUUUGACAUUCCCUUUAGCAGGCAAUUUAAUAGCUACCAUAUCAGACUUAUAUUACAUAUUUGAAAGUCCCAGACUGAGAUCUCUAAUUUCUAUCUCCAGGCAGUCAGUUCUUGACACACCACUGAGUAAGAUUCAUGGAAUAAAUCUGACCAUAUUAUAUUCCCUUGACAUCUUUCAAGUUCCUGAUUUCUUUUAGGAUAAAGUUCUUUAUGAUGCCAUUCAAAGCUCUUCAUGGUUUGGCCCCUAUCUGGCUUUCUAUUCUCAAGAGCAAAACUAUAGACUUCUGGCCUUCUUCAGGGUGAUCUUUCUCUUUCAAUCAUAGUCCCUCCCCAACCACUCACCAAAUAUCAGUUUUUAGAAGUCUUGUCUCUUGCAGGGAGUAGAGAGGGGGCAGUAAUAGUUUAUUCAGGGAUUCCCCCAUAUCUUUCCUGGGUAAAGGUAUUCUAGAAGGAGGCAGAGGAAGGAGGCUAGAGGUCCCACUGUUUGGCAUUCAGGCUUUCACUUAAUGCUCACUUUAGCCCUGCUUCACAGUCCCCUACUACCUACUGUGACUAAUAUUCUCAAGUCAAGAGUCUCUCCCAUUCUAGAAAAUAAAUCAGGCUCCUGGGAUGUGGUGAUGGUGUUAUAGGGGCAUGUGUGGGUAUGAGUGUGUGUGUAUGUGUGUAUGUGUGUGGGGUGGCAGUCCUUUGGUUAUAUGGGAUUGGGGAAUAGACCCAGGAAUGUAGGUGUUCUUUAUAUAGGCUUUCACCCUUCCCUAAAAUUUUCUGCCCUGAUCCUUUCUAAUUUUUUUGUGGAAAGAAUUAGCUCUUUUAAUUUAUUUAUUUUAUUUUAUUUUAUUUCAUUUUAUUUUAUUUUUUUGAGAUGGAAUCUUGCUCUGUUGCCCAGGCUGGAGUGCAGUGGUGUGAUCUUGGCUCACUGUAACCUCUGCCUCCCAGGUUCAAGCGAUUCUCCUGUCUCAGCCUACUGACUAGCUGGGACUACAGGCAUGUACCACCAUGCCAGGUUAAUUUUUUGUAUUUUUAGUAGAGACGGGCUUUCACCAUGUUAGCCAGGAUGGUCUCCAUCUCCUGACCUCGUGAUCUGCCUGCCUCAGCCUCCCAAAGUGCUGGGAUUACAGACGUGAGCGACUGCGCCCGGCAUCUUUUUAUAUUUUUAAAAGGUCACAUGUAUGUCCUUUCCUGUGAACUGUUUAUAUUCUUUGCCAAAGUGCUGGGAUUACAGACAUGAGCCACUGCACCUGGCCUUACCUCUUCUUUUUUUCUUUAAUCACCUGUGGAGGCUUUUAGAUUGUGCCUUUUGCUGUCAAGUCUACUACUACUCUUCCAUCGGCUUGUCAUACAACCAUUUGUUGAAAUUUCUUUUGUAUUUUGUUUGCCUUUUGGGCUCUACACUUUUUAAAAAUUUAUUUAGCUGUCAAAGAGAUGACAUACUGUGUAUGGUUAAUUUUCCAUGUAUUCUGGAGUUCUAAUAUAUUUUCAUGGUUUUUAAAUGUUUAGUUCUUUAAUCAAGUUGGAAUUUUUAAAAUAUAUAUGAAGUAGGAUGCUAAUUUAAAACUUUUCCUCCAAAUGGAUAUCCAUCCAGUUGUCUCAACAUCAUGUAUAGAAAAAACAAAUUGAAAAUGCUAUCUUAUCAUAUUAUUUACUAAAUUUACAUGCAUAUACAUAUACAUACAUAACAUAUAUCUGAGUUUGAGUCUGAAUUCACUACUGUUUCAAUUGCUGUAGUUGGUCAAUUCUAGUAUGACAGAGUUUUAAUUGCUACAGUUUUGGAAUGAUUAUGGGGUUACUUUUGAGACAGGGUCUGGCUAUCUUGCCCAGACUGGUCUCAAACUUACCGGCUCAAGCAAUCCUCCCAUCUCAGCCUCUUAAAGUGUUGGGAUUAUAGGUAUGAACCACUGCACCUGGCCCUGGAUUGCAUUUUGACUGUGGCCAUAGAAGUUUCCACUCAGAUCUUCAAGAGAACCUACUCUGGGGACUACAAGUGACUGACAGCCAGCUGCCACCCCUUUGGAACUACCAUGCAUUCAUGUCAAUGCCACAUAUCUCUGGAGUCGCCCCCAGCUAGUGGCUGAGCACAGCAGGAGUACUAAACUUGUUCUUUCUUGCCCAGUGCAGAACUCCUCUAACGGGCAACUUUGGCUUGGGGAACUUCUCAUCAGCCUGGAUGAGACUAUCUUAGAACUACAGUGUAGUCGAGGCUCUUUCUACCCAAUAUUUCCUUCUCUUCUUUUUACAGAAGUCAGACCUGCACCACAGUCUGAAGUCUCUCUGCCAAUUCCUGAGCCUUCCCACUUUAUCCUUCACAAACAUUUCCCCCAAUAAAUAUCUUGCAUGUCUAAUCCCUUCUUGGCAUCUGCUUCUCUGAGGACCAGAACAGACAGGUGGUUUACCAAGUGGUGCAAGAAAACAGAUAGUAAGAUGGGUUUUGGGCAAUGGCUUACUUGGUCCCUGGCACAAAGCAGCCAUCUGAGUCCUGAUUUAGCCAGCAGUGACCUAGGAAAACAUCCCAGAGAAGGGAAAUCCUCUUGCUCGUGCAAUUUAGGCAUUUAAAAGAUAUGGGGAAUACGAUGCCUACAAAGAAAGCAGAGCUGGCCAACUGUUACUAAGACAAGUAAUGCCUUGCAGAUGGAUAAUGAGAAACCGAGAGCACUUAAACAGUUAAAGGCUAAGUGUGGGAGCCGGGGGCUUCUCUGGAGCUUAACAAACUUUUAUUUCCUGCAGUGGAAGAGCAGAAAUGGGAUUGGAUGGUCACAGAGCUCUAAAGAUAUUUGAAUGCUCAGCCUAGGGAGAUCCAGUAUGUAGUCAGGGCGCUGGUUGGGGAAACCAGCCUGAAGCUUUGAAACAUGGAAUGGGUGCCCCUGAGGAUUUUGGCUCUGUAGAUACCUCUGGACACUCAAGAGCUUACAGAACUGGCUCAUACUUCCUAGUAAGAGCAAGCACUUCCCUCAUUACAGAAAGACCUCUUCCAUAAUUGUUCUCAGUUUUUCUCCUGGCUGCCAAGCCAUGGUAACUGGAGUUAACAUCUCAGCAUAAUCUGCCUAGGAACUGCUGGCCCUGAUAAGAAAGGAAAGAUUACACACCGAAGGAAUUGAAAUAAGUUACCAUGACUAUCAGGAGCCAGAGAAGUAUACUUAGGAUUGGAUUUUAAGGGUGUUCAAUUAAGGGGGCUGGAAUUUAAGACAACAUAAGCAAGACUUCAUGGACUUGGGGUACUUUUUUGGGACAGAUUUAACCUCAGCAAGUAGUCCCGAGGUUAGCUUUUCAAAGCCUGGAAAAGGUGAUGGCUUUGAAAAAGUGGAAAUGAAUUCACACCAUGGCAGCUUUUAACUUGAGGAGAAGAUAGCUAUUUAUUUUGGCAUAUUUAUGUGGUUACUGCUCACUUACUAGUCCCAAUUGUUUUGUAACCACUUUUUAUUUAUUUUUUGAGAUAGUCUCAUUCUGUUUUCUAGACUGGAGUACAGUGGUGCAAUCUUGGCUCAUUGCAACCUCUACCUCUUGGGCUUAAGCCAUCCUCCCACCUCAGCCUCCUAAUUUUUGCAUUUUUUGCAGAGAUGGGGUUUCCCCAUGUCACCCAGGCUGGUCUUGAACUCCUGGACUCAAGUCAUCUGCCCAUUUUGGCCUCCCAAAGUGCUGGGAUUACAGGCGUGAGCCACCACAUCGGGACUGUUUUUUUUGUUUUUUGAGAUGGAGUCUUGCUCUUGUUGCCAAGGCUGGAGUACAAUAGCACCAUCUCAGCUUACUCCAACCUCCACCUCCCGGGUUCAAGCAAUUCUCCUGCCUCAGCCUCCCGAGUAGCUGGGAUUACAGGCACCUGCCACUACACUUGGCUAAUUUUUAUAUUUUUAGCAGAGACGGGUUUUCGCCAUGUUGGCCAGGCUGGUCUCAAACUCCUGACUUUGUGAUCCGCCCACCUCGGCCACCCAAAGUGCUGGGAUUACAGGUUUUAGCCACCAUGCCCGGCCACCUGGCCUGUUUUAUACCAAUUUAAAGUGUUUUUUUAGGCUUCACAUGGUGGUUCAUGCCUGUAAUCCCAGCACUCUGGAAGGCCAAGGUGGGAGGAUCGCUUGAGCCCAGGAGUUUGAGAUCAGCACCUGGGCAACAGAGCGAGACCUCACCUCUACUAAAAAUUAAAAAAAAAAAAAAAAUUAACCAGGCAUGGUAGUCCAUACCUGUAGUACCAGCUACUUGGGAGGCUGAGGCAGGAGGAUCCCUUGAGCCUAGGAGUUCAAGGUUGCAGUAAGCUAUGAUUAUGUCACUGCACUCCAGCCUGAGUGACAGUAAGACCCUGUCUAAAAAAUAAAUAGUGGUUUUUAGAUGAUCAUCUGCAAAUAUUUUUGUUCUUUCCCUGUAUCCCUUUUUAAUCUCAUCACAUUGAUUAGGACAUCCAGAACACUGGUGAUUCUUGUUUUGUUCCUGACUUUAAUGGCCAUGUUUCCAGUGUUGUAUACAUGUUCCUAAUUUUUGAUACAUACCACUUGUGACGUUAAGGACAUUUCCUGAUAUUCUAAACUCUCUAGGAAAUGGAUAUUGAAUUAUUAAAAAAAAAAGUCUCUUUUUAGCCUGGGCAACAUAGUGAGACCCAGUCUCUAAAAGAACAACAACAGCAAAAAAUUUGCUGGCAUGCUGGUGCAUGCUGGCAGUCCCAGCACCUCAGCAGGCUGAGGCAGGAGGAUCACUUCAGCCCAGGAGUUUGAGGCUACAGUGAACUAUGAUCCUGCCACUGCACUCCAGCCUGGGCAACAGAGCAAGACCCUGUCUCC
rnacentral:lncRNA from 1 species